GCUUUAACAUGGGAGUACCUGC
rnacentral:miRNA from 15 species